UACGUAGGGUGCGAGCGUUGUCCGGAAUUAUUGGGCGUAAAGAGCUUGUAGGCGGUCUGUCGCGUCUGCUGUGAAAAUCCGGGGCUCAACCCCGGACUUGCAGUGGGUACGGGCAGACUAGAGUGUGGUAGGGGAGACUGGAAUUCCUGAUGUAGCGGUGAAAUGCGCAGAUAUCAGGAGGAACACCGAUGGCGAAGGCAGGUCUCUGGGCCACUACUGACGCUGAGAAGCGAAAGCAUGGGGAGCGAACAGG
rnacentral:rRNA from 1 species